rnacentral:snoRNA from 1 species
AUUUCAUGAUGGGGACAUUCUAGGGUGUAGUCUUAAAAGCGCUCCCAUGCUUCUGGAACAGAUUCAUCAUUUUGUUGCUGAAAACUUAUAAUCUUCCCACGGAGAGC